GGGUUGUGAGGUUAAGCGACCAAGCGUACACGGUGGAUGCCCUGGCAGUCAGAGGCGAUGAAGGACGUGCUAAUCUGCGAAAAGCGCCGGCGAGGUGAUAUGAACCCUUGACCCGGCGAUGUCCGAAUGGGGAAACCCAGUGUGACUCGUCACACUAUCAUUAACUGAAUCCAUAGGUUAAUGAGGCGAACCGGGGGAACUGAAACAUCUAAGUACCCCGAGGAAAAGAAAUCAACCGAGAUUCCCCCAGUAGCGGCGAGCGAACGGGGAGGAGCCCAGAGCCUGAAUCAGCAGGUGUGUUAGUGGAAGUGUCUGGAAAGGCACGCGAUACAGGGUGAGAGCCCCGUACACGAAAAUGCACCUGCUGUGAGCUCGAUGAGUAGGGCGGGACACGUGGUAUCCUGUCUGAAUAUGGGGGGACCAUCCUCCAAGGCUAAAUACUCCUGACUGACCGAUAGUGAACCAGUACCGUGAGGGAAAGGCGAAAAGAACCCCGGCGAGGGGAGUGAAAAAGAACCUGAAACCGUGUACGUACAAGCAGUGGGAGCACAGGUUUACCUGUGUGACUGCGUACCUUUUGUAUAAUGGGUCAGCGACUUAUAUUCUGUAGCAAGGUUAACCGAAUAGGGGAGCCGGAGGGAAACCGAGUCUUAACCGGGCGUUAAGUUGCAGGGUAUAGACCCGAAACCCGGUGAUCUAGCCAUGGGCAGGUUGAAGGUUGGGUAACACUAACUGGAGGACCGAACCGACUAAUGUUGAAAAAUUAGCGGAUGACCUGUGGCUGGGGGUGAAAGGCCAAUCAAACCGGGAGAUAGCUGGUUCUCCCCGAAAGCUAUUUAGGUAGCGCCUCGUGAACUCAUCUCCGGGGGUAGAGCACUGUUUCGGCUAGGGGGCCAUCCCGGCUUACCAACCCGAUGCAAACUGCGAAUACCGGAGAAUGUUAUCACGGGAGACACACGGCGGGUGCUAACGUCCGUCGUGAAGAGGGAAACAACCCAGACCGCCAGCUAAGGUCCCAAAGUCAUGGUUAAGUGGGAAACGAUGUGGGAAGGCCCAGACAGCCAGGAUGUUGGCUUAGAAGCAGCCAUCAUUUAAAGAAAGCGUAAUAGCUCACUGGUCGAGUCGGCCUGCGCGGAAGAUGUAACGGGGCUAAACCAUGCACCGAAGCUGCGGCAGCGGCACGCAAGUGUUGUUGGGUAGGGGAGCGUUCUGUAAGCCGUUGAAGGUGUGCUGUGAGGCAUGCUGGAGGUAUCAGAAGUGCGAAUGCUGACAUAAGUAACGAUAAAGCGGGUGAAAAGCCCGCUCGCCGGAAGACCAAGGGUUCCUGUCCAACGUUAAUCGGGGCAGGGUGAGUCGACCCCUAAGGCGAGGCCGAAAGGCGUAGUCGAUGGGAAACGGGUUAAUAUUCCCGUACUUGGUGUUACUGCGAAGGGGGGACGGAGAAGGCUAUGUUGGCCGGGCGACGGUUGUCCCGGUUUAAGCGUGUAGGCUGGUUUUCCAGGCAAAUCCGGAAAAUCAAGGCUGAGGCGUGACGACGAGGCACCACGGUGCUGAAGCAACAAAUGCCCUGCUUCCAGGAAAAGCCUCUAAGCGUCAGGUAACAUCAAAUCGUACCCCAAACCGACACAGGUGGUCAGGUAGAGAAUACCAAGGCGCUUGAGAGAACUCGGGUGAAGGAACUAGGCAAAAUGGUGCCGUAACUUCGGGAGAAGGCACGCUGACAUGUAGGUGAAGCGGUUUACCCGUGGAGCUGAAGUCAGUCGAAGAUACCAGCUGGCUGCAACUGUUUAUUAAAAACACAGCACUGUGCAAACACGAAAGUGGACGUAUACGGUGUGACGCCUGCCCGGUGCCGGAAGGUUAAUUGAUGGGGUCAGCGCAAGCGAAGCUCCUGAUCGAAGCCCCGGUAAACGGCGGCCGUAACUAUAACGGUCCUAAGGUAGCGAAAUUCCUUGUCGGGUAAGUUCCGACCUGCACGAAUGGCGUAAUGAUGGCCAGGCUGUCUCCACCCGAGACUCAGUGAAAUUGAACUCGCUGUGAAGAUGCAGUGUACCCGCGGCAAGACGGAAAGACCCCGUGAACCUUUACUAUAGCUUGACACUGAACACUGGUCCUUGAUGUGCAGGAUAGGUGGGAGGCUUUGAAGCGUGGACGCCAGUCUGCGUGGAGCCGUCCUUGAAAUACCACCCUUUAAUGGCUGGUGUUCUAACGUGGGCCCCUGACCGGGGUUGCGGACAGUGUCUGGUGGGUAGUUUGACUGGGGCGGUCUCCUCCCAAAGAGUAACGGAGGAGCACGAAGGUUGGCUAAUCCUGGUCGGACAUCAGGAGGUUAGUGCAAUGGCAUAAGCCAGCUUGACUGCGAGCGUGACGGCGCGAGCAGGUGCGAAAGCAGGUCAUAGUGAUCCGGUGGUUCUGAAUGGAAGGGCCAUCGCUCAACGGAUAAAAGGUACUCCGGGGAUAACAGGCUGAUACCGCCCAAGAGUUCAUAUCGACGGCGGUGUUUGGCACCUCGAUGUCGGCUCAUCACAUCCUGGGGCUGAAGUAGGUCCCAAGGGUAUGGCUGUUCGCCAUUUAAAGUGGUACGCGAGCUGGGUUUAGAACGUCGUGAGACAGUUCGGUCCCUAUCUGCCGUGGGCGCUGGAAGAUUGAGGGGGGCUGCUCCUAGUACGAGAGGACCGGAGUGGACGCAUCACUGGUGUUCGGGUUGUCAUGCCAAUGGCACUGCCCGGUAGCUAAAUGCGGAAGAGAUAAGUGCUGAAAGCAUCUAAGCACGAAACUUGCCCCGAGAUGAAUCUUCCCUGAGACUUUAAGUCUCCUGAAGGAACGUUGAAGACGACGACGUUGAUAGGCCGGGUGUGUAAGCGCAGCGAUGCGUUGAGCUAACCGGUACUAAUGAACCGUGAGGCUUAACCUUACAACGCCGAAG
rnacentral:rRNA from 3 species